AGAUUAACAGCAUCUCAAAUACAGAACAAAAUGGAGUCUCUUAUGUCUACUUCUUUCUAUAUAGACACAGUAACAGUCUGAUCUUUUUCUUUUCCCCACAAGGAGAGGACGCUGUGCAGCCCAGAUGCUGGGAGAUGGGGGCACAGAUCUGAUAAGAGGAACUUAGCGGGCCUCCCUGCACAUUCAUAAAGACAAAUGCUAAAUACAAUAAAUGUAUAUUAACUAGAUAAUGUUUAUCAAUAUAAAUAUAUAAAUUAACAUGGGUAAUAAAAUCAUAAUCAAUACUGUUAGGUAGUGUUUCCUGAGUGCCUUCGAUGUUCUGGACCUUGUGCUGAAGAAGCACUUUCCACGGGUCUUUCCACUUCCUCCGCACUCCACCCGUGUGUGAGGUGGGUACAUAAUGAUCCCACAUUCCAGACGAGGGAACUGAGGCCCAGGGAGGCUGCGCCAGCUCUCUGGCUGCAGAGUGGUCUCUGGUGUAGGCCAAGUGCUCUCACCAAGAUGCCUGCACUCUUUGCUGCCUUUCCCAGGGAUCAGGGCCACACAGCUGAGGGUCCCCUCUGUUUUGUUUCGUUUUUGCUUCUCUAUUACUAUUAUUAAUAGACGCAAAGACUAAGUAUCAAUAAAGGCCAAAACGAGCGAAGAAAGUGGCAGCCCUUUUAUUUUGCAAAUAUGCACGCACUCUCGGACGAGGUUCACUGGUCCGUGGGAAAGGGCCAGGGAAGUCGCGCCAGCGCUCUCGGGUGAUGUUCUCUGGUCCACGAAUGCGGGGGGCUGAAGAAGUCACGGCGGCUCCUGCCGGCGGCGGACUUUUAUGCCUGAGAGCUGGAAGAGGCGGAGUUUGGGGCGUGUGUGUAGGAGUGGCUUCUUGAAUGUCGGUGUCCCCGGCUUGACGUCAUUCUGCGCAUGCUCAGUUGAUUUGGUUCUUUUCCUGGGCGCGGGAAAAUCUGUGAUGAAGAACCCGGAAACAAUAGGGACUGCUCCAUCUUGUUCACCUUCCUCCAUCUUGUCCCUUUUCCCUCACCCAAACACCCUCCAAGGUGGUGUCUCAGGCCCGGUGUCUGGCCCUCUCAGGGCCUGGAAAUCCUGUUGCCCCCCAGCCCAGUGGCCCCGGGGACUUGUGGAGUCCUCUGUGUCAUGCUGCAGCUCCCGAUCCAAUAUGAAAUUCAGGAAACCAGUUUGUGACAAACUGCAUCUGGCCACUAAGGGAGCCCCUGGGUGACCCCAACACAUUCACACCAGUGUAUGAAAAAUUGCCUGCAUUUCAGAGAAGAUAAAUGGACUUUCCCUCUUCAGAUGCUUGAAGGGAGCGCUUUGAGCCGAGUGGUACGUGACCUCCCUCCAGCCCCGGGGCCCUCAGUGGACCUGGGCUGCCUGGCAGGCACUGGAACCUCCCUGGAUGUUCCCUCCUGCACCAACACCACUGCAACAUAGAGACCCAGCUGUGAUUUAUUUUGGCUUGGAGCUGUUUCAGGACUCCUCCUCCUCCCCUAAUAACUUGAGUCUUUCCCAUGUCAUAAUAAAGCUACAUUUUCUUCUGAAAACUGGCAGGUUCUCCCUUCCUAACACAGACAGCCGAGGAGAGGGUGGCAGGAGGGAGAAGAGCAGCCAGGGCACACCGGCCUGCAUGGGGUCGUCCUUGGUUGGAGUCAGUGGCCAGAGCUGCAGCCUGCCUUUGUGCCCAAAGUCUUGUCUGGGUGUCAGGAAGGCCACGCACUCAUAUUUCACCCCUUUCCGUGACUGGCUCGCUGUUCAAUGACCCUCGUUCCUUCCUUUUUGAGCAGGAAGGUGUCAUCUAGGACUCUGUCUUUGGGUGUGCAUGAAAGUCAUCUGAGGCCCUUGAUGUGCAGGAAUCCUUGCCAGCCUUGGAUUGCAAGACCCAGGCUGUGGUAUAGCAACGUGCAUUUUGUAGGAAGUUCCCUGCUUGAUUGGAGAGUCAUAAAUAGAAAGAAAUACUAUAAUCAGUGGAA